rnacentral:lncRNA from 1 species
GUAUGUUUAAAGGGAACAGGUAUCCCGUUUCUUUCAGUCGAAAAAGGCGUUUUCACAUCUGUGCAUUUGGAUCUCGAGCCCGAUAUGUGUAACGGUAGGCAGAUGGCUGAGUGAUCUGAAAAUCUACAAGACUCAACGCCUGGACACCUGCACCGAAGAAAGAUGUAUAUCUACAAAGAGAAGACGAAUCACGCAGGCACGCUGGAGACAUGUGUGUUCAAGUGUAUGUUUGUGAAUCGUUCGUAACGUGUACGUUCCCCUGUGACAAGACCUUCUACGUUCUACAUUUGUUUUUGGGAUCGAUACAGAGAUGUGCGUUGUCGUGCCUCCAUUUUCUCUCAGAGCGCCUGAAAAUAUGCGAGCGAAUUUCAGUGGAAGAAGCAGCUCGUCAUGGAAUGUGAAGAAACAUUUCUGUCCGAUCUGCUCGUGCUCUGCAGAGAAAUGCACGAUGGUCGAAUACUGGCUAAAAAUCGUUUUUGUGUGUGCUCUGGUGAGCUGUGAUUCGUCCUGUUUCCCAAAUGUUCCUGAACGGUGGGAGCCCCACCGUGCAUAACAAAAACUUGGGACCAUGCGACUUUCUCUGCGGUUUUGAACACACUCUCCCUCUCAAAAGGAGCGUCUUCAAAUC